GUCAGGAUGGCAGAACGGCCAAAGGAGCACCGUUCAGGUCACAGUUCACUCAUGUGGGCGUGGGUUCGAAUCCCACUUCUGACA